UGAGAGGGCGCCUGGCUUCAGACUACGUGUCCAACCACCGCAAACCACAGAGCUGACCUUUGCUAGGACUUUAGUUACUAUCAGCUGGAGGAAGGAAAUAACAACAACCAUUCCCGCUAACCUAGUCUCAGAGUCUACAGAUCCUAAAGACCAUCAGAGUAUAACUGCCAGGGCCCUGGUUUCCAAUGAGCUGGGAAAAGGGGACCAGGCCCAAAGCUGAUUGAACAUUAAUUACGUCGGGACGGGCCUGACACAGAAGCAAACACGGAGGUGUUUCGGGCACGUCCAACCGGUAGGAGGCCACGGGGAAGACCCAGGACACAUUGUGGAGGGGGUCCGGUCCGAUGACCAUGGAUGAAGUACUGGCUGUCCAGAGUCGAGACCCAGGAUGGACCGCUCGUCGGGACCCAGGAUGGACCGCUCGCCUGUAUCGGUUGGGGACAUCUCUACGCUGCUGAUCCGCUUGAGAUGGUUUCCUGUGGACGGGACUCUCGCUGCUGUCUUGGAUCCGCUUGAACUGAACUCUCGCGGCUGUGUUGGAGCCACUAUGGAUUGAACUUUCACAGUAUCAUGUUAGACCCGCUCGACAUCCAUUGCUUUCGGUCCCCUAGAGAGGGGGGGUUGCCCACAUCUGAGGUCCUCUCCAAGGUUUCUCAUAGUCAGCAUUGUCACUGGCGUCCCACUGGAUGUGAAUUCUCUCUGCCCACUGGGUGUGAGUUUUCCUUGCCCUUUUGUGGGUUCUUCCGAGGAUGUUGUAGUCGUACUGAUUUGUGCAGUCCUUUGAGACAUUUGUGAUUCGGGGCUAUAUAAAUAAACAUUGAUUGAUUGAUUGAUUGAGAAGACUAUGUCUCCCGGCUGGCCUGGGAACGCCUCGGGAUCCCCCGGGAAGAGCUGGACGAAGUGGCUGGGGAGAGGAGAGUCUGGGCUUCCAUGCUUAGGCUGCUGCCCCCGCGACCCCACCUCGGAUAAGCGGAAGAAGAUACAAGUUUGAUUGAGUUAAUAUGCUGACAGCUGAUCACCGUGAUCCAACUCCGAUGAAUCUCGAACAGCCAUCACGAUUAAAUAAUCGCCCAGCCCUACUUUGUACAUCUACUGGAAUAAACUGCAACUUUAGAGAAGGUUUUUGGUGCAUGUUCAAGAAUAAAAAGUGUCCCUCA